rnacentral:lncRNA from 1 species
CUUAUUGUAAUUUGCUUAAGCAGACGUUACGAUACUAAAUUGGCUUCGUAUUAUGCACAGAGGUACUAGCUUCCAAUACCUUCUGAAAUAAGCAAGCAGAAGGGGUAAUUAAAUCUUGUCUUUUUCUUCACAUUGCUCGGCAUGUUCUUUUAUUUUUCUGGCUCCUAUGCUGACAACCCAGCAGGAGAUUUUACAAGCCCAAAAUACCUGAUUACUUCCCAACCCCAGAGAAAGGGACAGAACAUGCUUGGGAAGAAGGAAAGCUAAUGGCAGCUUCGCUGGAGGUGAGAACAGGGUGAAAGUUGAGGAAGCUCAGAGCGGAAUGAAUUCCAAACAGCUUGGGCAGGGCUGACCUCGCCGUCUGCCGUGUCCUGAGAGGCAGGUGUCGCACUGCAGUCACAUCGCUGUUCUUUCAUUGUGUGAUGAAUUUCCAAUACAUCCCCGACAUGGCAGGGGAGGCGGGUUCCAAAGUGGAACCGUGUUCGAGCAUUCUGUCUUCUACUGCUCCCUCAGUGGCGUAAACAUAGAAGUCGUGAUUUGCUUAGAACAACUCCUGGCAAUGAAGGGAGUGGCUGAGACACUGGCCUGGGAUUCCAGGCCUUCCCCAGCAAACGCAUAGUGCAGGCCACCUGCGCUCUGCUCCGGUAAAAAUGCCGCACAGCGUCUGAUGCGUCCGCACUGCCUGGACCUGGGAACACUCAUCCCACAGGAGAAAGAAACCUGAUGUACUCAUCCAUCAGGACCACGACUCUCAGAACACGCAUCCAACUAGCCGUCUGCGGUUGGGUAGAGAGGCCCUGGGGCACACUUUUAGCCCUGCUAGAAAGUUGGCCUCGUAACUGGCCGGCUUAUUCCAGGAAUGUUUUCAUUUUUCUUUCUAAGGUCAACCUGAUCACACUGCCGAGGCUACAAGCACACAAAGGCUGCAGGCACAUAAACAAAAGAUGAAAAAACAGACUCCCGGGCAGAGAAAACAGGGUCAGAGGUGUUGCCGUGCCUGUGAGGCCUUUGCUGGCCGCCUGCGUUCCGGUGGCAGCCAGUGACCGUCCUGCACCUUCCUGCCGACUGCAGAGACCUCAGGCCACCCUUGGCUCUGACCUGUGUUUCCCAGGCUGCCUCUGCACCUGCCUGCUAAAGCCUUCCUCGGUUUCCUUUGCCAGAUGCACACACACUCUAGGUCCACACAGAGUCCCCCGGACUCGCUCCACCCUGUCAAGCCUCUGCACGUGGCAAUUUCUUCUUUUUUUUUUCCUGGUUCGACCACCUUGGCCUGGUUUUUCAUCUUUUUGUUUUAACUCCCUUCGUGUGUCACGCACCUUCCCUUUCAACUGUGCUGCACACACUGGAUUCUGCUGUUGCUUUUCUGAGCUAAUUCCUACCUGUCCUUCAGUUCUCAACCUGCACGUCAGCUCUUCACGGAACCAGCUCCUCCACCUCCCUGAAGAGGUGCAGACCUUCCAGCCUGUGCUACCUGACCAUCAGGGAUUCUUCAUGGAAUGUAUCACAGGUGUCAUCAACGAGUCACUUGGAGAUUGACUUGGAUGAGAGCUAUUUCUCCCUGUAGCUAUUUUUGCCUAAUUACAAAAAAAGGAAAAGAUGGCUCCUUCCCCAGUAUUUCUGAGUGUCUUUCUGAGGAAGGGAAGCUGUGUGCCUGGCCAUGCUGACGUGGCCCACCACUGCCUGGCUUGACCUUCUCCUCCUCCCAACACCUCUGAGAUGUUAUCGUCUCCCAUGAUGCUUCCACUCACUGCCGUUCUGUUUGAUCUUAACCUGAACGUGACUCCCAUCAGGGCUCCUGGUCACUUACAGCGAUUGACUGAAGCUUUACUGAGGAUGGUGUGCGGCGCCUAUAGUAGAAGAUAAAUUAAUCCAGUUUAGUCCAUAAAUGCUCUAUAGUGGUUGAUGGUUGUAAUUUAUCAUAGAAAUUUUGCAUCAUUUAACAGAUUGAUAGAUUCAAAUUUUAGUGGCUAUAAACUGACAUUUUAAAACAAAACAUGACAAGAUGGCAACUAUGCUUUUACAUGACUAGCAUUUUAACAGAGACCCACUUCUCACUCAAAACCAGCUGAAGUUAGAGUUUUGCCUCUGUCCACAGCUAGCUCAGGCGGUGGCUCUUUCUCCUCUGCAUUCAAAGCACUCAUUGAACUCCCAGGAAAAGACUCAUAGUUUAGAGUGCUACUGAGAGUUUUGUGUGUCUGUCUUGUCUCAGAAAUUGCAUUAUUCACCCAUUGAGAGCAGUGAGGGUGUUUGCUAGUUCUUUAAUUUGACAUAGAGUUUGACAUGGAAUGGUAAUCAAUACACAUUGACUGAUGUGUUGGUGAAAACUGGGGGGCCCUGAUGUCCCCAGUAGAGUAAGAAACACAAACCCAUGCUUUUAGGUCAACACCACACAACGUCAUAAAUGGACAAUUUAUAAAUCACUUGAACUUGCUAUUUUUAACAAGUAUACAAAUCUUUGUGUAGCACUCGGAAAGAUUGCAUUGAAGCCUUACCAAUGAAAAGCUAUGAUUUUAAACAUAAAACAAAACUAGGUACCUGUGCAUGCGGCUUGACAGUUGCACAACCUGCCAGACCCUGCUGCACUUUGAAAUGUUGCCAUACUCAGCACUUCAGCUCCAACUGAAAAACACUCAGAGAAGCGGCUCGUGUUUAACAAAAGCCUUCUGUGUCAUCCCAAACUGAGUGUUUAGCACCUGGCCUUCCUCCUGCAGGAGGCCUCACAUCAUGGCAGAAGGUGAAGGAGAAGCAAAGGCACGUCCUAUAUGGCUGCAGGCAAGAGAGCGUGUCCUGCCCUUUAUAAAGCCAUCGGAUCUUGUGAGACUUAAUCACCAUCACAAGAACAGCAUGGGCAAGGCCUGCCUCCAUCAUUCAAUUACCUCCCACUUGGUCCCUCCCAUGACAUGUGGGAAUUAUGGGAGCUACAAUUCAAGAUGAGAUUUGGGUGAGGACACAGCCAAACCAUACCAUAUAUGUGUGUGUAUAUUUGUGUGUGUGUAUAUAUACAUACACACACACACACACAAUCAAUAGGACAUAUAUAUUCGUUCUGUUUCUCUGGAGAAUCCUGACUAACAUAGUUGUCAAUGCAAAAACAUAACGACUUUCUUUCUUUCUUGAAAUAAGUAAGUGAUCUCUUUCAGGCAGCUGUUGAUGGACUGUCCGAUAUGUUUAAUUAUUUUCUUAUUUCAGCCACUUCUCUACAUUAGAUAUUUUUGAUAGUCAAUAUACAGAAUUGUACUUUGAAUCAUUGAGCACAGAGCAUUAAAUCUUAUACAUGGAAGAUUCUCAUUAGAUAUUUAUUUAGGAUGGCUUUCUGAUUGCUGUAACUUACAUUUAGUUGACAAGCACGAAAGCAUUUUACAAGAGUUAGGAAGCAGCUGCUCCAACCUCAUGAACGAAGGAAAGGAGAGGGCCAGAAGGCCAUUCUACCUCACGCCCUGUCUCCCAAUAAUCUCCAAUAUGAGCUGUUAGACAACCCCUUUAAGGAGAAGUUUACAUCCUGAGUAUUUCCAAAGAUCGGUAGUGUGUGGCUUACACUCUCAUGCAAAAUUCAGAUCUUAGAAAAGAGGAGCUGAGUGUAGAGCCACCCAGAGCCUGAGAAAAUGCGUUUAAAGGCUCUCAACCUUGCAGGAGGUGCUGCAAAUCGAACCCAGAAAACUGACCACCCCAGUGUAAUGGCACUGGGCCUCUGUCACUUAGCAGGACUUGUUUUUCUCCUGUCUCAGGUCUGGUUCCCCAGAAGCAAACCCGAACUCACUAGAAUUAAGACCAGAAUUUGCCUUCAAGCAGGUGAAACUGACAGGGAAGAGGAAGAAGAGGAAGGGGCCCACCCACAGCCUCAUCUCAGGCAAGGUCCCUGGUGCUGCAGUCUGGCCCCAGAGGAGAAUCCUGAGUGUUCACUCUUUCCAGGGGCCGGGGAGUCAGGCUUUCAGACGCUGUCACACAAGUUACCAGAGUGAAGGGGUAAGACUCCAGGCACCCGGCUUGAAGACACAUUGGCCCGGAGUAAACGCUGUUCUGCCAACUGCGGGUGUUGCAGCCAAUUCCUUUCUAAUCCUUAAUUUCCUUGUCUGUAUGAAGGACAGUCAUGGAAGUUGCAUGAGACAUGCAUCCAAUGUUUGCCACAGAGGAAGUCCUCUGCAGGCAUUAACUCUCAUGUUAUUAAAGCGCCUGCCAUUUUAUGGUGACUUCCUCUUUUCACAUUAAUCUGUCUUAUUCUGCUAUCAUCCUUUUCAUGUUACAAACCUGAAAGCUAAUAAAAGAUUACCAAUUCCACUACAGUAUAUAUUCUAUCCUUGGGUCUUUUAUUUUGGCAUAGUCUAAAGCACUGUGCAGCACAUAGAAGUGUCCAAUAAAUCUUUGGCAAAUUAAAGAGAUUGAAGUAUUAAUAGCAUUAACAUUCAUUCUGUAUUUUCUUUGUGCUGGGCCCCGUCCUAAGUGUUUUACAUGCUUGAACUCCUUUAAUCUUUACUAACCGUCUUGAAACGUAAGUACUGUAUGAAUGAAAUACAUUUUUGAUGAAUUAAAAGAAUGCCGUUUUUGUUGCCAUAGCAACACGGGUCUGAAAAUAUGAAUCCAAGUUUAGAAGCCGUAAUCAUUGUUUUCUGCCUCAGUUUUAAUGUGCUGUUGAAGGUAUUUAUAUGAAAAUAGCUACAGCAAGGGACCUGCCCCCAGGGCGAUUUUUAUCAUCGAUGUCAUUGCUUCCCAAGAUUGAAAGCGGUUGUUCUAAAAUCUGGAUCCCCAAAAUCUGGUAGGGCAGCAUUUCGUGAACUAAGGCACCCAGACCCAGGAGGUCCUUGGUAACAUUUCAGAGACCUGUAAAACCAAAGGAGGAAAGUUGGUAGGUAUUUAGGAAGUUGGGUUUGGAUUCAAUUGUUAAACAACUUAAAACAUUAGUUUCUAGUGAAA